rnacentral:rRNA from 1 species
UAAGACGAACCGAGCGAACGUUAUUCGGAAUCACUGGGCUUAAAGGGCGCGUAGGCGGGCGGUCAAGUCCGGGGUGAAAGCCCCCAGCUCAACUGGGGAAGUGCCUCGGAUACUGAUCGCCUCGAGGGAGAUAGGGGCGUGCGGAACUUCCGGUGGAGCGGUGAAAUGCGUAGAUAUCGGAAGGAACACCGAUGGCGAAAGCAGCGCGCUGGAUCUCUUCUGACGCUGAGGCGCGAAAGCCAGGGGAGCGAACGGGAUUAGAUACCCCGGUAGUCCUGGCCCUAAACGUUGGGUACUAGGUUGUGGGCUUACAUGGGUUCACAGCCGAAGCAAAAGUGUUAAGUACCCCGCCUGGGGAGUAUGGUCGCAAGGCUG